GACGAACGCUGGCGGCGUGCUUAACACAUGCAAGUCGAACGGAAAGGCCCUGCUUUUGUGGGGUGCUCGAGUGGCGAACGGGUGAGUAACACGUGAGUAACCUGCCCUUUACUUUGGGAUAACUUCAGGAAACUGGGGCUAAUACCGGAUAGGAGCUCCUGCUGCAUGGUGGGGGUUGGAAAGUUUCGGCGGUUGGGGAUGGACUCGCGGCUUAUCAGCUUGUUGGUGGGGUAGUGGCUUACCAAGGCUUUGACGGGUAGCCGGCCUGAGAGGGUGACCGGCCACAUUGGGACUGAGAUACGGCCCAGACUCAUACGGGAGGCAGCAGUGGGGAAUAUUGCACAAUGGGCGGAAGCCUGAUGCAGCAACGCCGCGUGCGGGAUGACGGCCUUCGGGUUGUAAACCGCUUUCGCCUGUGACGAAGCGUGAGUGACGGUAAUGGGGAAAGAAGCACCGGCUAACUACGU
rnacentral:rRNA from 1 species